rnacentral:rRNA from 1 species
GAUGAACGCUGGCGGCGUGCCUAAUACAUGCAAGUCGAGCGAACAGACGAGGAGCUUGCUCCUCUGACGUUAGCGGCGGACGGGUGAGUAACGCGUGGAUAACCUACCUAUAAGACUGGGAUAACUUCGGGAAACCGGAGCUAAUACCGGAUAAUAUAUUGAACCGCAUGGUUCAAUAGUGAAAGACGGUUUUGCUGUCACUUAUAGAUGGAUCCGCGCCGCAUUAGCUAGUUGGCAAGGUAACGGCUUACCAAGGCAACGAUGCGUAGCCGACCUGAGAGGGUGAUCGGCCACACUGGAACUGAGACACGGUCCAGACUCCUACGGGAGGCAGCAGUAGGGAAUCUUCCGCAAUGGGCGAAAGCCUGACGGAGCAACGCCGCGUGAGUGAUGAAGGUCUUCGGAUCGUAAAACUCUGUUAUUAGGGAAGAACAAAUGUGUAAGUAACUAUGCACGUCUUGACGGUACCUAAUCAGAAAGCCACGGCUAACUACGUG